rnacentral:rRNA from 1 species
GUCCAGGGAGGGCUCGCGCCUAUCAGCUUGUUGUGGGUUAAGGCCUCCCAAGGGGAUUCGGGUAGCCGGCCUGAGAGGCGACCGGCCACACUGGGACUGAGACCCGGCCCAGAUUCCUGCGGGAGGCAGCAGUGGGGAAUAUUGCACAAUGGGCGAAAGCCUGAUGCAGCGACGCCGCGUGGGGGAUGACGGCCUUCGGGUUGUAAACCUCUUUUACCACCAACGCAGGCCCCGGGUUCUCUCGGGGUUGACGGUAGGUGGGGAAUAAGGACCGGCUAACUACGUGCCAGCAGCCGCGGUAAUACGUAGGGUCCGAGCGUUGUCCGGAAUUAUUGGGCGUAAAGAGCUCGUAGGCGGCGUGUCGCGUCUGCUGUGAAAGACCGGGGCUUAACCCCGGUUCUGCAGUGGAUACGGGCAUGCUAGAGGUAGGUAGGGGAGACUGGAAUUCCUGGUGUAGCGGUGAAAUGCGCAGAUAUCAGGAGGAACACCGGUGGCGAAGGCGGGUCUCUGGGCCUUACCUGACGCUGAGGAGCGAAAGCAUGGGGAGCGAACAGGAUUAGAUACCCUGGUAGUCCAUGCCGUAAACGUUGGGCGCUAGGUGUGGGGACUUUCCACGGUUUCCGCGCCGUAGCUAACGCAUUAAGCGCCCCGCCUGGGGAGUACGGCCGCAAGGCUAAAACUCAAAGGAAUUGACGGGGGCCCGCACAAGCGGCGGAGCAUGUUGCUUAAUUCGACGCAACGCGAAGAACCUUACCAAGGUUUGACAUCACCCGUGGACCUGUAGAGAUACAGGGUCAUUUAGUUGGUGGGUGACAGGUGGUGCAUGGCUGUCGUCAGCUCGUGUCGUGAGAUGUUGGGUUAAGUCCCGCAACGAGCGCAACCCUUGUUCCAUGUUGCCAGCACGUAAUGGUGGGGACUCAUGGGAGACUGCCGGGGUCAACUCGGAGGAAGGUGGGGACGACGUCAAGUCAUCAUGCCCCUUAUGUCUUGGGCUGCAAACAUGCUACAAUGGCCGGUACAAUGGGCGUGCGAUACCGCAAGGUGGAGCGAAUCCCUUAAAGCCGGUCUCAGUUCGGAUUGGGGUCUGCAACUCGACCCCAUGAAGGUGGAGUCGCUAGUAAUCGCGGAUCAGCAACGCCGCGGUGAAUACGUUCCCGGGCCUUGUACACACCGCCCGUCACGUCAUGAAAGUCGGCAACACCCGAAACUUGUGGCCUAACCCUUCGGGGAGGGAAUGAGUGAAGGUGGGGCUGGCGA